GACAGAGGGUGCAAACGUUGUUCGGAAUUACUGGGCGUAAAGGGCGCGUAGGCGGCUUUGUAAGUCGGGGGUGAAAGCCUGUGGCUCAACCACAGAAUUGCCUUCGAUACUGCAUGGCUUGAGACCGGAAGAGGUAAGUGGAACUGCGAGUGUAGAGGUGAAAUUCGUAGAUAUUGGGAAGAACACCGGUGGCGAAGGCGGCGACCUGGUCCAUUACUGACGCUGAGGCGCGACAGCGUGGGGAGCAAACAGG
rnacentral:rRNA from 1 species